rnacentral:rRNA from 1 species
CAGCCGCCGCGGUAAGACGAAGGGUGCAAGCGUUAAUCGGAAUUACUGGGCGUAAAGCGUGCGCAGGCGGUUUGUUAAGACAGAUGUGAAAUCCCCGGGCUCAACCUGGGAACUGCAUUUGUGACUGGCAAGCUAGAGUGUGGCAGAGGGGGGUGGAAUUCCGCGUGUAGCAGUGAAAUGCGUAGAUAUGCGGAGGAACACCGAUGGCGAAGGCAGCCCCCUGGGCCAACACUGACGCUCAUGCACGAAAGCGUGGGGAGCAAACAGGAUUAGAUACCCCCGUAGUCCCUGUCUCUUAUAA